rnacentral:rRNA from 1 species
GAUGAACGCUGGCGGCGUGCCUAAUACAUGCAAGUCGAGCGAACAGACGAGGAGCUUGCUCCUCUGACGUUAGCGGCGGACGGGUGAGUAACACGUGGAUAACCUACCUAUAAGACUGGGAUAACUUCGGGAAACCGUAGCUAAUACCGGAUAAUAUAUUGAACCGCAUGGUUCAAUAGUGAAAGACGGUUUUGCUGUCACUUAUAGAUGGAUCCGCGCCGCAUUAGCUAGUUGGUAAGGUAACGGCUUACCAAGGCAACGAUGCGUAGCCGACCUGAGAGGGUGAUCGGCCACACUGGAACUGAGACACGGUCCAGACUCCUACGGGAGGCAGCAGUAGGGAAUCUCCCGCAAUGGGCGAAAGCCUGACGGAGCAACGCCGCGUGAGUGAUGAAGGUCUUCGGAUCGUAAAACUCUGUUAUUAGGGAAGAACAAAUGUGUAAGUAACUAUGCACGUCUUGACGGUACCUAAUCAGAAAGCCACGGCUAACUACGUG